CGUAGGGUGCGAGCGUUAAUCGGAAUUACUGGGCGUAAAGCGUGCGCAGGCGGUUCGUCGUGUCCGAUGUGAAAGCCCCGGGCUCAACCUGGGAAUGGCAUUGGAAACUGGCGGACUCGAGUGUGGCAGAGGGGGUGGAAUUCCGCGUGUAGCAGUGAAAUGCGUAGAGAUGCGGAGGAACACCGAUGGCGAAGGCAGCCCCCUGGGCUAACACUGACGCUCAGGCACGAAAGCGUGGGGAGCAAACAGGAUUAGAUACCCUGGUAGUCCACGCCCUAAACCAUGUCAACUGGGUGUUCGGGAAGCGAUUCCUGAGUACCGUAGCUAACGCGUGAAGUUGACCGCCUGGGGAGUACGGCCGCAAGGUUA
rnacentral:rRNA from 1 species